AUUGAACGCUGGCGGCAUGCUUUACACAUGCAAGUCGAACGGCAGCGCGGGCUUCGGCCUGGCGGCGAGUGGCGAACGGGUGAGUAAUACAUCGGAACGUGCCCAGUAGUGGGGGAUAGCUCGGCGAAAGCCGGAUUAAUACCGCAUACGACCUGAGGGUGAAAGCGGGGGAUCUUCGGACCUCGCGCUAUUGGAGCGGCCGAUGGCAGAUUAGCUAGUUGGUGGGGUAAAGGCCUACCAAGGCGACGAUCUGUAGCUGGUCUGAGAGGACGACCAGCCACACUGGGAGUGAGACACGGCCCAGACUCCUACGGGAGGCAGCAGUGGGGAAUUUUGGACAAUGGGCGAAAGCCUGAUCCAGCAAUGCCGCGUGUGUGAUGAAGGCCUUCGGGUUGUAAAGCACUUUUGGCGGGAACGAAAAGGACUGUGCCAAUACCACGGUUCGAUGACGGUACCCGCAGAAUAAGCACCGGCUAACUACGUG
rnacentral:rRNA from 1 species